GGUUUGAUCAUGGCUCAGAUUGAACGCUGGCGGGAUGCUUUACACAUGCAAGUCGGGCGGCACGGACGGUCUGGUGGCGAGUGGCGAACAGGUGAGUAAUGUAUCGGAACGUGCCUAGUAGCGGGGGAUAUGCGAAACGUAGCUAAUACCGCAUACGCCCUUCGAAGCGGGGACGGGCCUCGCACUAUUAGAGCGGCCGAUAUCGGAUUAGCUAGUUGGUGGGGUAACGGCUCACCAAGGCGUGAUCCCGUAGCUGGUUUGAGAGGACGACCAGCCACACUGGGACUGAGACACAGCCCAGACUCCUACAGGAGGCAGCAGUGGGGAAUUUUUGGACAAUGGAAACCUGAUCCAGCCAUCCGCGUGUGCGAUGAAGGCCUUCGGGUUGUAAAGCACUUUUGGCGGGAAAGAAACGGCACGGGAUAAUACCCCGUGCAACUGACGGUACCUGCAGAAUAAGCACCGGCUAACUACGUGCCAGCAGCCGCGGUAAUACGUAAGUGCAAGCGUUAAUCGGAAUUACUGGGGCGUAAAAGCGUGCGCAGGCGGUUCGGAAGAAGAUGUGAAAUCCCAGAGCUUAACUUUGGAACUGCAUUUUUAACUACCGAAAGGCUAGAGGUGUCGGAGGAGGUGGAAUUCCCGCGUGUAGCGAUGAAAUGCGUAGAUAUGCGGAGGAACACCGAUAGAGGCAGCCUCCUGGGAUAACACUGACGCUCAUGCACGAAAGCGUGGGGAGCAAACAGGAUUAGAUACCCUGGUAGUCCGCGCCUAAACGAUGUCAACUAGCUGUUGGGGCCUUCGGGCCUUGGUAGCGCAGCUAACGCGUGAAGUUGACCGCCUGGGAAGUACGGUCGCAAGAUUAAAACUCAAAGGAAUUGACGGGGACCCGCACAAGCGGUGGAUGAUGUGGAUUAAUUCGAUGCAACGCGAAAAACCUUACCUACCCGCCGUAUGUCUGGAAUCGAAGAGAUUUGGGAGUGCUCGCAAGGAGAACCGGAACACAGGUGCUGCAUGGCUGUCGUCAGCUCGUGUCGUGAGAUGUUGGGUUAAGUCCGCAACGAGCGCAACCCAUAUGCCAUUAGUUGCUACGAAAGGGCACUCUAAUGCAGAGACUGCCGGUGGCUCCCAAACCGGAGGAAGGUGGGGAUGACGUCAAGUCCUCAUGGCCCUUAUGGGUAGGGCUUCACACGUCAUACAAUGGUCGGGACAGAGGGUCGCCAACCCGCGAGGGAGCCAAUCCGAGCCCAGUCGUAGUCCGGAUCGCAGUCUGCAACUCGACUGCGUGAAGUCGGAAUCGCUAGUAAUCGCGGAUCAGCAUGUCGCGGUGAAUACGUUCAGGUCUUGUACACACCGCCCGUCACACCAUGGGAGUGGGUUUUACCAGAAGUAGUUAGCCUAACCAUCAGGAGGGCGAUUACCACGGUAGGAUUCAUGACUGGGGUGAAGUCAUAUUCAAAGGUAG
rnacentral:rRNA from 1 species